UACGUAGGGACCGAGCGUUGUCCGGAUUUAUUGGGCGUAAAGAGCUCGUAGGCGGCCUGUUGCGUCCGCUGUGAAAGCCCGGGGCUUAACCCCCGGGUCGGCAGUGGAUACGGGCAGGCUAGAGGUAGGUAGGGGAGAAUGGAAUUCCCGGUGUAGCGGUGAAAUGCGCAGAUAUCAGGAGGAACACCGAUGGCGAAGGCAGGUCUCUGGGCCAUAACUGACGCUGAGAAGCGAAAGCAUGGGGAGCGAACAGG
rnacentral:rRNA from 1 species